GAGGGGAUAGCUCAGUGGUAGAGCAUGUGCUCAGCAUGCACGAGGUCCUGGGUUCAAUCCCCAGUCCCUCCA
rnacentral:tRNA from 1 species